GUGUCAGCAGCCGCGGUAAUACGGAGGGUGCGAGCGUUGUCCGGAAUCAUUGGGUGUAAAGGGUGCGUAGGCGGGCUGCUAAGUCUGGGGUGAAAUCCUGCCGCUUAACGGAAGAAUGGCCCCCGAUACUGGCAGUCUUGAGUACAGAAGAGGUCGGUGGAAUUCGUAGUGUAGCGGUGAACUGCAUAGAUAUUACGAAGAACACCAGUGGCGAAGGCGGCCGGCUGGUCUGUAACUGACGCGGAGGCACGAAAGCGUGGGGAGCGAACAGGAUUAGAUACCCUGGUAGUCCACGCUGUAAACGAUGUAUGCUAGGUGUCGGCCCUGCGGGGUCGGUGCUGCAGUUAACGCAGUAAGCAUACCACCUGGGGAGUACGUCGGCAACGAUGAAACUUAAAGGAAUUGACGGGG
rnacentral:rRNA from 1 species